UGCAUACUUACAUAACUAAAACCAUUUACUCUCUUGUUGGUUUGUCUUUUUUUAGUUUCAUAUCCAGAACCCCAGCUAGAGAAGCUAGGAGGGUAGAGGGAAAACAUUUUUUCUUCUCCUGCAAUAGAAUCGUCAAUCUUCCAGCAUGGCUUGAUGAGCAGUGUGUAGGUCUACACCCAAGAUCUGAACCCACGAACCCUGGGCCACUGAAGCAGAGCACAUGAACUUAACCACUACACCACCAGGCCAGACCCUGGAGGAUAUGUCUUCAGGACAUAUCUGUUCGUCAAGAAAUAUCUCCUGUCAAGCAGCCUUUGAAAGAGAUUGCGGCUCAUGAUCUGAGAUCCCAGAAACACUCUCUGUCGUAAUGACUAAAAAAUUAAAAUGGACAUCAAAAGCCCUGAAAGCUAAACGAAAAGACAACUUUCACUGAGAAGAUGCGUUCUUGAGACCUAGACUUCUAACGAAGCACAGGAUAGCUAACAUAUCUGAAUCUCAGGAUUGUGCUUCAGAAACUCUCAUCUUCUAGGUCUGCCUCUAUUUGCUACUUUCUGACAAGUACUUGACCUCACGGCAUCUCCACUCCUGUCAAUCAAUCGAGAGCAACUAUGUUCAGUGCCGUCUAUGUCCUAGAGGUUCUCACCAUGAAGAAUUUGUAAAUAAAAAGUACUAUGAAAACGACAA
rnacentral:lncRNA from 1 species